GGGAGGAUGGCUCAGUGGUAGAGGGCUUGCCUUGCAUGCAUGAGGCCCUGGGUUCGAUUCCUCAGCACCACCA
rfam:Dipodomys ordii contig_27119, whole genome shotgun sequence.